UGGUAGUGAAUGGUGCUUCUGAUCGAUUUGGUUACUAAUGAAUCCAAUACUGAAUGCUUAAGUUAUAUUAACUUUAUAUUUUCAACACCCCCAAAUGAGAUGCUUAACAAAGCAAACACUGACAGGUUGCUUUACGUGUGGGUCAAACAGCCUUUUGUGUAGUCCCAACCCUAUCUCACGGCGAAUUCGUAAUAAUUCAAACGAUUUAACCAAGUGGCUAAAUCGUAUGAAAUCAUACGAGCUGGCUCGUACGAAAUCGUACGAUUAGUUCAUCGCAUGCAACACAGCCCUGUGUUGCAGGGAUUUCGUGCUAAUUAAUACGAAUAGAUUAAAUCGUACUAUACCAUACGAUUUUGUUCAUCGCAUUCAAGAAGCGUGACCCGUAGCCAGAAAAAACCUCUGGGUGUGCAUCUGAAAAUCUGCGUGUGUCACAUGCAGGCAAGAUGAGCAGAAACGCUGGGGACUUCAGGUGCUGUAAAUCCGGUGGGCAGGACUCAUCUCGUUAUAGAUCAAGAUAAUUUAUAAAGAUCUUUAAACGAAUUAUUGGAAUAUCAGAUAGUUGACAUGGUAAGCAAGUUAGUUAAUAUUUUAAUUAAAAAAAGGAAAAACGAAAUAAAACGAAUAGAAUACAUUAUUGUUGUUGCGGUGUGUCACGUGACAAUCAUGACCCGUAGCCAUGGACACAAGGGGUCAGAUAAAAUAUUUUUAACUUACGCGUGAAAGGGUUUAUUUUAAAAAAAAUAUAUAUAUAUAUUCUAAGUAAACAACAACAGCCCAAGUUUAGUAAAAAAAAAUAUUGAAACUAUAAAUAAAUAUUCUGCAUCAAUUUUAGGUGUGCUACUGUGGGUGGCUCCGGCACACCCGUGGCUACGCCCCUGCCGUGACCCAAAUCUCGUUCGCACAUCAUCGCGAUAUGUAUCAUCUGUUUACAAACGUCGCCACUCGCUUCGUAAGAUGGAAUUACUGGGCUUCUCUCCAAUGCUCUAUUACAACGCAGAGAGGCCAGCAUCGCUCCACAAAAGUUUUUGUUAAAAACGUCAACGUUCAGAGGCAUCACUCAGUACCAGUCAUGCAGAGACUUUAUGAGGCUGUUGUAAGAGAUUAGCCUAUCCCCUGUAUGUCACUGAUGCACUACUUCAAAGAUGUGAGGACAAGAACAUACACCUGCGAGUAGUCUUAGACAUUGCCUGUGUUGUUGCCUUACAUUUGCAGAAAUCAGGGGAGGGCAUACCACACAACAUCUCCUUAGACUUACCAGCAUUUCAUGUUUAUGGGCACAAAUUGCCCUGCCAGAUCAAGUACAGUACCAGAUGGCUUGAUGGGUUUGGGCUCACAGACGGGGAAGGAAUGGAAAGGCUGUGGUCUUUCCUCCAAAGAUUUGCCAGAGUCACAAAGGAGAUGACUCCAUCUCAUCGCCUUGACUUACUGACUGAUGCCCUUUUGCAUUAUGGACGGAGGAAAUCAACUGACCUAGAGGUGCAGCUCCUGCAAAGAGUAGACAAAGCAGAGAAAAUAUUGAUUCUCGCUCCUCAAGAAGAUAUUUCAUCUGUCAUCAGAUAGGUACCAGGUAAACAAUGCACAUAAGAAGCAGGUAACAAUUAGUUGUAGAUGGGAGAAUAUUACAUUCCAUUUAUAAGUGCAAUUUGCACAAGAGUAUUUAGGAUUGAUGUGUGUCUUGUUUUCUGUUAUUGUUGUUGUAUAGUGUUGAUUUCUGAAGGAGACAUGGAGAGAUGGAAAAAAGCUAGCCCAACAGAAACCAAUAAAUGGAAAAGGGACUACAUCAUCAGACUGAUUCAGUUCUACAAGUUCAAAUAUUAGAAUUGAGGACUCUGCUGAACAGUGAGAAAAAAUACCGUAUUGGGAGAAGAUGGCAAGAGUCUGAUUCAAACUUCCAGUCUACCCUUAAAGAUGUGGACCGUGAGCUCAGAGUCCAGCUGCAAGGCUAGAACUGAAUCAAGGGAGAGAGCAGUCCUCCUCCACCUGAGAAUAAUAUAUCCAGCUUUGCUUCAGAUGGGCAGGACAUUGCCAUUAGACUCUCCAAGCAGGUAGCGACAAUUGAUUUUCAGGAAUCAUAUGAUCCCUCUUGGCAUGUCUACUUCUGCUUUGAUGACACUAUUGAAGAAGAUGAUGUUUCGCGGAGUCUAAAAAAGCGAGGAAUUGAUGCCUUACAUAUGAAGACUCAUGCAAAAGCUGCUCUCAUUCAACGCUUCCAACAGCUGGAAAGAAAACUACAUCAAGCCAUUGUGAUGUUUCACCCACAUGUAUCAGACUUUGUUCCUGCAGACAACCCCCACUUGUGUCAGGCCCUCCCCAUGCCAAGCAUACAGACACUGGUAUACAAUGAUAAGAGUGAUAAUGAUGACAAUGUGGAUAAAUAUGAUAAAUAGCACUACAGAAUUUUUUUAAGUUUCUAGUCUUGAUAUUGUAUUCUGUAAAAAGAAUGAUGUAAAAUGUAUAGUAUAUGUUGCAGCAUAUCAUAGAAACCUUUAUGGUGGUUUAAUAUAAUGUUCGCCUUACUUGUGCAAACAUGAUGUUUUACUAGGUCUGAUUUAUUUUAAAGCGUAGGUACUGUUUUUAAGCACACAUAUUCACACUAGUCUGUGUGAGGAGAACAUUGUGUGUUUACCAUUGUGAUGUUACUUAUUUACUGUAAUGUACAAAUGUGGUCAAUGUGUGUAAGGUGUUUUGUUUUUGUGUGCUAAGUUGAAAUGACAAAGUAUUGAAUCUUGAAUCCUUUGAA